AGCGAACGCUGGCGGCAGGCCUAACACAUGCAAGUCGAACGAACCUUUCGGGGUUAGUGGCGGACGGGUGAGUAACACGUGGGAACGUGCCUUUAGGUUCGGAAUAACUCAGGGAAACUUGUGCUAAUACCGAAUGUGCCCUUCGGGGGAAAGAUUUAUCGCCUUUAGAGCGGCCCGCGUCUGAUUAGCUAGUUGGUUGAGGUAAUGGCUCACCAAGGCGACGAUCAGUAGCUGGUCUGAGAGGAUGAUCAGCCACAUUGGGACUGAGACACGGCCCAAACUCCUACGGGAGGCAGCAGUGGGGAAUCUUGCGCAAUGGGCGAAAGCCUGACGCAGCCAUGCCGCGUGAAUGAUGAAGGUCUUAGGAUUGUAGAAUUCUUUCACCGGGGACGAUAAUGACGGUACCCGGAGAAGAAGCCCCGGCUAACUUCGUG
rnacentral:rRNA from 1 species